rnacentral:rRNA from 1 species
UACGGAGGGUGCAAGCGUUAUCCGGAUUCACUGGGUUUAAAGGGUGCGUAGGCGGGUUUGUAAGUCAGUGGUGAAAUCCCCGAGCUUAACUUGGGAACUGCCAUUGAUACUGCAAGUCUUGAAUUUUCUGGAGGUAAGCGGAAUAUGUCAUGUAGCGGUGAAAUGCUUAGAUAUGACAUAGAACACCCAUUGCGAAGGCAGCUUACUACGGGAAUAUUGACGCUGAGGCACGAAAGCGUGGGGAUCAAACAGGAUUAGAAACCCUAGUAGU